rnacentral:lncRNA from 1 species
UUUCAACUCAUUUGUCAUUAAACCAUAAACAAUUUUUCCAACAUUCCAAUUCAAAUAUAUUUCAAUUCAAUUUUCCAUUUAAAAUUACAUCUCAAUAUGUAUUUCAAUUGUGCUUCCAUUUCCAAAUUUACCAAUGACAUUCAAGCAUCUCGGAUCAAACUUUUUAAAAUCAAAAUCCAUACAUAUUGCAUACAUACAACUUUCAAUUUCAAGCCAACUAUUACAAUAGAAUUCCACAUUCCAAACUACAUUUCCAAUAUACCAAUCCUAUGCUAAUCUAAUCAACCCACUCCAAUCUUCAUGUAUGCCAAGUAAAUAGGAGCUCUUUCGUUGACCAUCCAAGCAAUUCGAUUAUAGCCAUUCGUAGUAAUUGUUAAUAACCUGCAUAUUCGAACUAUCAUUAAUUUCCAGCAACAUAAAUUCAACUACAAGCUUCACUAGUUUCAAGUUAGAAAUCAAUAGCAUAUUAGCUCAUACACUUAACUAACUAACACAUCAACAAUUUCAGGAAGAAAACAACUACCACUUUAUAACAGUUCCAUAAGAUAUUGAAAUUAUGACAUAAUAUGCAUCAGUUUUUGCACAUUACUUCAACUCAGUAGGUUUUUUGACUGUCAUGCUAUUGUCAAAACCAAUUCCUAAAUUCACUACAAACCAACCUCAAUGCACAUUCAGUUUGCAGACCCAUUAGCACUUCAUCCCAUUCUAAAUUGAUUACAAUACAAUGAACAUACUUGCACCUAGUUAACUAACCAUCAUAAAUUAACCUACAACUAACAGAACAAUUAUACUGAUAGUUAAAUUAAACACAACAGAUUAAAUCCACCAAAUCGAUUGAAACCUCAUGACAACAUUUUUUCACAUAAAUCAACCUCAGCCCAAAUUCAUCCAUUAGAUUAGUCGUAGCUUGAUCAGUAGCGUCCAGUCAACAUUAAAUUACUAAUUAGUAGAAAUUUACACUUUGAGAUAAUGAUGUCUAAUUGUCAUAACAUAAUAGUAGUAUUAACAGGGUAAUCUAACUAUUUCACAGUUAUAAUUAACUUUUUACUCUAUGAGAUCUAACUACCUAGCUCAAGCAACUAACAUAACUGAAUCCAAAGCUAACUAAUUAAUAGAGUAUAAAAUGGUUAACUAACUUUGGUGGGAGGGAGAUUAACAAAGUUUGAUCUAUGUUAAUCUCAGCCUAUAAAGCUGCAUCAUCUUCUUCAAUUCAGGGAUUGAUUGAUAAUAACAGAAAAGAACUCAGAAAUAGCAUGGCCUCUCUCCUCAACCUCACACAAACCUCAUUGGAAAUUCUCUGCAUCUCAAUCUCUCUCAUUCUCAAUAUCACUCUCCCUCAUUUCAGUCCUCUCAAGUCUGAAGCACGCAGGGCAAGCAAACUAAAAAGAACAGAGGGAGAAGAAGGAAAAAGCAUCGCAGAACAAGAGGAGUAGAAGUAAGAGAAGAGGAGGAUUAUUGAGCAAUUGGAAUUGAAUUUGUACCUCUGGUGAAGUCCCUGGUUUUCUCUUCUUCGUUCGCCUUCAUCUUCUCUAGAAUUCAACGGUUACUUAGGAGAAACUCGUCCUUGUAAGUAGGUUUCCGCUCCCUUUUCGCUUUGAAUUUGUUUUCGCCAUGUAGUAUAGGGCAUGUGGAAGCAAAACCCUCUCACUCUGAUUUUUGAUUCCGCUGUUGUUUCAUUUAAUUUUAAAUUAUGGAGUUAGGGUCCUUAGAUAAAAAAUUUCGGUUAGGACAUUAGGUUAGCAUAUGGCAAAAUUGAUGGUGGAUUCGGGUUAAGGGCGAAAGAACGAGUUUGGGGGUGUUUGAGUUUGGGGGUGUUUGAGUUUGGUGGUUUGGCCCUCUGGCGUCGCCAGAGGCGACAUCUGGCGCGGUGGGCAGGUGACGCAGAGUGAAGUUCAUUUUUAGCUGAGCGCGUUGCUUCGUUUUGAACGCAUGAUCCGUAGCGUUUCCUUCCUUCAUGUGUGGUUAGGCCUUGGGGUCCCUAUUGGCCCAAUAUUUACUCAAUACACCUUGCCUUCUCCUAUACCCACUGUGAGUGUGGAUUUAGUGCCUGGGCCUGAGGCCCCAGGCCCAUUCGCUUCCUAGUGUUGUUUACCACCCAUUUUUGUGCCUACACUCCCUCCUUUGAUAGUUGUUUCAUC